AACGAACGCUGGCGGCAUGCCUAACACAUGCAAGUCGAACGAGACCUUCGGGUCUAGUGGCGCACGGGUGCGUAACGCGUGGGAACCUGCCCUUAGGUUCGGAAUAACUCCCCGAAAGGGGUGCUAAUACCGGAUAAUGUCUUGGGACCAAAGAUUUAUCGCCUUUGGAUGGGCCCGCGUUGGAUUGGCUAGUUGGUAGGGUAAAAGCCUACCAAGGCGACGAUCCAUAGCUGGUCUGAGAGGAUGAUCAGCCACACUGGGACUGAGACACGGCCCAGACUCCUACGGGAGGCAGCAGUGGGGAAUAUUGGACAAUGGGCGAAAGCCUGAUCCAGCAAUGCCGCGUGAGUGAUGAAGGCCUUAGGGUUGUAAAGCUCUUUUACCCGGGAUGAUAAUGACAGUACCGGGAGAAUAAGCGCCGGCUAACUCCGUG
rnacentral:rRNA from 1 species